CCGCAGGGGUGCUGAAUGUAUGUUGGCUGAGAUGACGUGUGAAACUCGUCAAACCCUUUCACCUGAUACGGAUAAUGCCGUCGUAGGAAGUUGGAUGA
rnacentral:ncRNA from 1 species